AUUGAACGCUGGCGGCAUGCCUUACACAUGCAAGUCGAACGGCAGCACGGGGGCAACCCUGGUGGCGAGUGGCGAACGGGUGAGUAAUGCAUCGGAACGUGCCCUGAAGUGGGGGAUAACGUAGCGAAAGUUACGCUAAUACCGCAUAUUCUGUGAGCAGGAAAGCAGGGGAUCGCAAGACCUUGCGCUUUAGGAGCGGCCGAUGUCGGAUUAGCUAGUUGGUGGGGUAAGAGCUCAACAAGGCGACGAUCCGUAGCGGGUCUGAGAGGAUGAUCCGCCACACUGGGACUGAGACACGGCCCAGACUCCUACGGGAGGCAGCAGUGGGGAAUUUUGGACAAUGGGCGCAAGCCUGAUUCAGCCAUGCCGCGUGAGUGAAGAAGGCCUUCGGGUUGUAAAGCUCUUUCGGUGGGGAAGAAAUUGCAUUCUCUAAUACAGGAUGUAGAUGACGGUACCGUAAGAAUAAGCACCGGCUAACUACGUGCCAGCCGCCGCGGUAACAC
rnacentral:rRNA from 1 species